GACAAAUGUUCUCAACCUAAAUUUGUAAUCAGUUCAUCGAUGUUGAUAUGUGUCUUUCUUCCUCACAAAUUUCUGAUAUAUAUUCUCAAAGGUUCAUAACAUCGAUCAUAUCCAAUAAACAUAAGUUACUUUCUUCCAGAAGUGUGCAUGCAAUGGUUGCUUGCCAAGGUAUAUAUCACUACAGCCUACAUGUUCGACAAGAACAAUCGAAAUGUCUUCAUUUCCCAACCCUUACGUAAGCAACCAUUUAAUCAAUAUGUAUAUGAAUUGCGGUUAUUUGGAAUAUGCACGUAAGGUGUUCGACAAAAUAGGUGACAAAAGUAUUUUGUUUUGCAUGGCUUUUAUUUCCUACCAUUAUGUGUUUUGUGUCUUUUCAAUUUAGAAAUCUCGAACUAUAGCAUGAUUUUGGAUUUAAUCUCGUGACUGUCAUUUGAAAACGUCUUUUUGUAGGGUUAUAAUAAACUGAUGUAGGGAAGAGCACCCGACAGCCCCCUCAUUGUCUCCGCCCCUGUUGAUGAUUGAUGUUUAAUAUCCAUAAAAUCAUUGAUGAAUCUAAAAAUACCAAGACCUGGGAUGGGGAUCGAAAAUAAGGACUCGGUAUGUUAAAACUCUUAUAAUGGUGACCAUUUUGCAUAAAAUGGACCAACUGGCUGAAUAGAGGUCAGGUGGCCUUUCUUUCUGGUGUUGAGUAAUCAAGGGGGACUGUGUGCAAUGGCAAUUCAAGAUCUUAACUGAUUAGGGAACAAAAUUAUUAUUACCUCUAUAGAAAUAAUGGGAAAUUGUAUGUCAUGUUAUUAAAUAGAGCCAUUGUUUUUCAUGUUUAUAUGUUGGAAUUGCACCAGUUGUUGAUGUCAAUGGUUGAAUAUUUAUAUAUUUAUCGGUUCAUUGGAUG